rnacentral:lncRNA from 1 species
AUAGUUCACAGAGGUAUAAAAACAAAAAUCUCCUUGACACAAGUUUUAUAAAGAGUGAUUGUAUUACUAAUGGUCAGUGAACAACAACAUGUACAGAGUCACUGGCAGAUGGCACUAGAGGCUGAGAUAGCAGCCCCCCUUCAAACCCGGGCUGCUCCAUCAGACCGGCGAGGCAGGAAUCAGUUAGCACUCGUGUGGUUACUUGCAAGGUGGACACCUGUCAACUGGAACUUGAACAACACUAACCACACGAACUUUAUACAUGCUGCACUUCUGCAAAGCCAAGACAAGGAAGUGAUGAAUCAUGCACAUUUAUAUAACUGUGGUUGAAAUAAAUGUGCAGCUCUAAAAACAUUUUUCUUUAUUUGGCGCAUCUUCUAAAAAAAUCUACAAAGGUAGAUUCUGAGUUAAAAUUAAAGUCUCACUGUUUUCUAAAUGAAACCUGCAAUGAUGCAUUUGCAAUGAUAGACGCAGGUCCAGCAGGGAAAUGACUCUGAAGGAAAUUCUGAUCUCCAGAAAGCUGACCGUCCCUGGAGACAGACGACACAGUUUAUACGGCACAUCGUGUAAUCGGCAGGCCGCUAUGGACGGAGCUGUGGGUUGGUGCCAGAAAGGGAACAGUAGCAUUUGCAGAUUUGCCGUCUCCAGCAGAUGAACAGAACCUUCAACAGCAUGCAGCUUGCACAACACAG